rnacentral:rRNA from 1 species
AACGCUGGCGGUAGGCUUAACACAUGCAAGUCGAACGGAGGCCCUAGCUUGCUAGGUGUCCUUAGUGGCGCACGGGUGAGUAACACGUGGGAACAUACCUCAUAGUACGGAAUAACUGCGGGAAACUGUAGCUAAUACCGUAUAUUCCAGAAAUGGGAAAGAUUUAUCGCUAUGAGAUUGGCCCGCGCAAGAUUAGCUUGUUGGUGAGGUAAUGGCUCACCAAGGCUCCGAUCUUUAGCUGGUUUGAGAGGACGAUCAGCCACACUGGGACUGAGACACGGCCCAGACUCCUACGGGAGGCAGCAGUAGGGAAUAUUGGACAAUGGGGGAAACCCUGAUCCAGCAAUGCAGCGUGAGUGACGAAGGCCUUAGGGUUGUAAAACUCUUUCAUCGGUGAGGAUAAUGACAGUAGCCGAAGAAGAAGGACCGG